rnacentral:rRNA from 1 species
AGCGAACGUUAGCGGCGGGCCUAACACAUGCAAGUCGAACGCGAAAGGUCUUCGGACUGAGUAGAGUGGCGCACGGGUGAGUAACACGUAGGUAAUCUACCCUUUGGCGGGGGAUAACGUUCCGAAAGGAGCGCUAAUACCGCAUAAGACCACGGAGUCUCCGGACGCUGUGGGAAAAGGUGGCCUCUUCUUGAAAGCUACCACCGAAGGAUGAGCCUGCGUCCCAUCAGCUAGUUGGUAAGGUAAUGGCUUACCAAGGCGAAGACGGGUAGCUGGUUUGAGAGAAUGAUCAGCCACACUGGCACUGGAACACGGGCCAGACUCCUACGGGAGGCAGCAGUGAGGAAUUUUGGACAAUGGGGGCAACCCUGAUCCAGCCAUUCCGCGUGAGUGAAGAAGGCCUCGG